rnacentral:snRNA from 1 species
UAUCUCAAUGAGAUACCC